GCAAUUUGCAGUGGUUAGAAAUGACAAAGGAUGGGUGGUAGGAUCCAGAGAAAAAACAGUGAAACCCGAUGGACCUUAAAUAGAUCUGAGGGCACUGAUUUGAUUAUUUUGGGUGAAAUCUUUUAAGAAAAUCUUGUCAGAUUCUUCACAGAAAAUUUGGUAAAGCCUAUAUUUCAUCGCCAGCCUAGCAAAGGCAAGCUGGCAAACAGGGAAACAAGGAGAACUGUGUGCUCAGCCCUCCAGAGUGGCACGGAUUAUGAGGAGGUGAUGGUCCUUCCCCGCCAAGAUCCUGAGACACUGUCACUCCGGAAUCCAAAAAGAGAUUCAGAUACCAUGAAAGGAUUUGAGCGUUUUUUUAUGUGAAUCCAAAGAUGACAUUUACAAAAGGUGGAGAAGCAGUUCCCUACUGAGGGACGUGGAUACAAAAAGCAGAUGACACAACACAUCCCAUAGAGUUCCCAGGGAAGAAUGAACCCAGAUUCUUGACCUGCAGAGGUGGCGUACUGGCUGGAGAAAUCUCUGGCUGGCGACCGUGCUAUUCUGUCUGUCCACCUAACUGUGGGCUCCCAGAUCACCACUGCCAUGGGCAGGGGGCCGUGGGGUGGGCCUGCUUGGGGUGACAGGCUAGCUGUGCUCCCAUAGCAGAGGUGGGAGAAGGGAAUCACAUCUGGUGAGCAGCUAUGUCGUGCCAGGCACUGUGCUGUGUAUUGCACACAUCUCAAACCUUGUGACAAAUGUGUAAGAUAUUUUUUAUGUAUUACAA
rnacentral:lncRNA from 10 species